rnacentral:tRNA from 2 species
GUUAGGGUGGCAGAGCUCGGUAAUGCAAAAGGCCUAAGUUCUUUGUAACAGAGGUUCAAAUCCUCUCCUUAACU